GAUGGACUUCAGUCAUCCUGGUCAUGCUUUUGUGGGCUGUAAUCAGGGAAUAAUCUUGCCUCGGCUGGCUGGCUGGGGUUCAAUAAACUCUCUCUAUCACACACACACACACACACACACACACACACACACACACACACACACACACACACGUGCACCAGCACCGCUGAGUCGCUGCAUCAGAGCAGAGCGGAGAAAGGACCGCAAUUUCACUUCAUGUCUCAUUCACCGGUAAGCAAACACCUGAUAUUAUCAUACAGAAUGU